CCAAAGGCUCUUUUCAGAGCCACCACUUUUUCCAGAAAGAGUUGU
rfam:Mesocricetus auratus contig023763, whole genome shotgun sequence.